AGCGACGCUGGCUGGCAGGCCUACGACAUGCAAGUCGAACGGACCCUUCGGGGUUAGUGCGGACGGGUAGUAACACGUGGGAACGUGCCUUUAGGUUCGGAAUAGCUCCUGGAAAUCGGGUGGUAAUGCCGAAUGUGCCCUUCGGGGGAAAGUAUUUAUCGCCUUUAGAGCGGCCCGCGUCUGAUUAGCUAGUUGGUGAGGCUAACGGCUCACCAAGGCGACGAUCAGUAGCUGGUCUGAGAGGAUGUACCAGCCACACUGGGACUGAGACUACGGCCCAGACUCCUACGGGAGGCAGCAGUGGGGAAUCUUGCGCAAUGGGCGAAAGCCUGACGCAGCCAUGCCGCGUGAAUGAUGAAGGUCUUAGGAUUGUAAAAUUCUUUCACCGGGGACGAUAAUGACGGUACCCGGAGAAGAAGCCCGGCUAA
rnacentral:rRNA from 1 species